rnacentral:rRNA from 1 species
AGAGGAAUAUUGGGCAAUGCCCGCAAGGGUGACCCAGCAACGCCGCGUGGAGGAUGAAUGUCGUAAGAUUGUAAACUCCUGUUAGAGGGGAAGAAUAGUACCGGUUGGACCGGUAUAUGACUGUACCCUCAGAGAAAGCCCCGGCUAACUACGUGCCAGCAGCCGCGGUAAUACGUAGGGGGCAAGCGUUGUCCGGAUUUACUGGGUGUAAAGGGCGCGCAGGCGGGAUAAAAAGUCAGUGGUGAAAUCCUACAGCUUAACUGUAGAACUGCCUUUGAUACUUUUAUUCUUGAGUUCGGGAGAGAGAGACGGAAUUCCAGGUGUAGUGGUGAAAUACGUAGGUAUCUGGAAGAACACCAGUUGCGAAGGCGGUCUCUUGGUCCGACACUGACGCUGAGGCGCGAAAGCGUGGGGAGCAAACA